CCAUGUGCUUAGCUGCAAAAAUUCUAAAAAGAUGCGCCUAAUGACGGGUGGCGGAUGUGGGUCCUCUAGGGCCUCGUCGGCCAGAGAAGGAGGGGAGGAGCGAUUGCCGACGAGCGAGGUGGCUCUGUUUGGACCGGCCAUGGUGUUGGCUGUUGACUCCCACCGGUCUUGUCUCCCCCAACCCUUCCAUGGAGCUCGCUUAGCCACCGGCCGGCACAUCUUCUUCUCGCUCACAGCACCAAGGUAGGCAAAAUUCUUUCUUUUUCCCAUGAUGUGAUUUCUUUUGCUUGGAUGGAUUACAACUGGUUGGAGUAGCGGAUGUGUGAAGUUUUGCCUGUAAUCUAAAUUCUGUAUUUUAUCUAGCUAAGUUAAGCAAAAGCUUGUUCUUUUACAAGGACUGAAGCAAAAUCAUUCUCUUGCAGGCCAUGUAGCUUACAUUUUAACUGUUAUUGCUGAUUGGAGCCAUUGCUAUUGGCUAUUUAUACAUAAGAUGGAAGGUGAAUUGAGAUUUUUGUGAGGGGAUUGGAUUUUAUCCAGAUGGCUUGCUUCUCGUGAUGAGACUGAUACUAAUGAACUAAUGAAGACAUGAAGGUUGCAUCUUAUCCCCAUUUCCCUUUCUACAUUUACCAUUUAGUCGAUUAACAUACAUUGUACUAUUUCCCUUUCUACAGUUGCCAUUUAGUUGAUUAACAUAGAUUGUACUAUUUUCGAUUAAGCACACUAUGGGUCAAUGAAUGUGGAAUUAGCUACUUUUUAUAUCCCUGGACCAUAUAUAUUACAUGCAUCAGUACUUGAUGGGAAGAGGAUAUGCUUUUGCUUUUUAUUGUUACCCUUAAUUACUACUUUUCUAUGAACCCAAGGUUUAGGUUGCAGGCUCAACUGCAUAUCUAUAUUCUCUGUAUGAAUUUUUUAGCGAGCUUUGAAGUGAAUGUGGUGAUCAAGGCUCUAAUAUGUAUUCUUUAUUUGCAUGAAUGUUGUGUGCAUAUAGGUACUUGCAAUGGAAUCUUUUUCUCAUAGACGAGAAGUACUUUGAAAACAGAUUUUAAAAAUUGAUAUAAUUUUACAAGUGUGCAGAUAGCUGACAAGGCAACAAUGCUAUUGUUCAAAUGUAGUCGAGCCGGGCUUUUGGUGUUUUCGGUGCUAUUGUUCAAAUUUUGCUUUCUUAGAUUCAUUGCAACCAAAAGAUUUGGUAAUAUUUUUUUUCUGGAAACAUGGAUACACUUGUUGGUGUUGUAUACUGGGAUCUGUAAGUAUUGUCAUAGGAAUUUUUUUAUCCUAAGGAUUCACACAGAUUGGAGGGGAAUUAGUAUCUAACAUCUUGUUAAAUGUACACAAACUGGUAUAUCUUCAUGGCUUUUAAGCUAUAUAAUUGUAGAUGAUAAUUUAUGCUUUGAUAAAGUAAUAUCUUACUUCUCGGUGCUUGGAUAAAAUAGUAUAGUUUGCUGAAAAUAUGUUCAUACUUUAUAUCACAGAAGUACAAACUGACAAUCAGCCUAUGGUGAAGUUAAAAGAAGCAAAAGUAUUGUGUGUAUAAUCAUUAGAUUUGUUAAGGUGAAUCAGAUUUAUUUUUGCUGCUGCACGUAGAAUGUAGUUUAUUUUAAUUCCUGUUGCUGCGUUUGGCCCUACAUCUCGAUGGGUGUGGCCGCUCCCUUGUUAGUUUGUUGCUCGAUUUGGUUUGGUCCAAGGUAGGUCGUGUGUUGUCUACGUCUGUAUAUUCGUUGGCUGGAUAAGAAGAUUUUGCAGGUUUUUCUCUAGUUUGGUUGCUUCUGCUCUGAGUGUAGGUUCCUAUGAUUUCUAGACAGUGUAUUGGUUCUAAGGAUUGCUCGGUAGUUUAAAAGUGCUUUGAUUUCCUUCUUGUCUUCACGCACAGACCAUGAAGAUGGCUAGGUUUGCAUGGGCAUGGGGUUUGGUACACCUGGCCUCUAUUUAGAUUUGUUAAUAAAUUCAGUUUAUCACGAACACCAUAAAUGUGUUAUCAGUUUACUAUCUUGGGACAUGAGCUAUUUUUCAGUCAAUGCGUGCCGAGUCCAUUUGGAACUGAAUAUGUAGUGUUUUCUUUGAAACUGAGUAACUGUGGUUGAAAUUUAGUUUCAUUUAGACGAGCUACCCCAAGUAUCAUCAAUUCAUGAUGGCUAAUUUGUUUUGGUUCUUGAUGAAUCGGCCAUGGUCCUGAUUUAAGAGUUUUUAUGUUAUUUCUCCGCCUAUUUGAGCUAUUAUCGUUUCUAUUUAACACACACAAUUGUAGCUGCCCUUUUUGAUUCAGAAAAAUGGUCUUCAUGUCUCUGGUUUGGUUAAACAUUUUCUCAGCAUAUCUCUAUUCAUCAGUCUUAACUCGCAUAACAUCCAAUAUAGUUUGUCUGAUCCAGACUAAAUGUUGGUUGUUGCUAUGUUUUGUGUGCAGUCUAUUUCUCUUCUAUCUUGGUCAUUAAAGAUGUGUGACAAGAAAGAAAUUUCAAAAGGUUUGAUAAUCUAGAAUGCUCAUAUGGAGUUAUUUGAACCAGUUCUUUUAGUAGCUGCUGAGACCAGAUGUAUCAGAAAAAUUUAAAAGAUACCAACAGUAGGGUUGACCAAUAAUGCUGAAUUGAUUCAGUCUUCAGGCCUUAUGCACAAUUUCCACAAUGUUUAGAUAAUAUGCUUUAAUGCUCCUGUGCACUGCUUUAAUGCUUCUGCUUGUUUGUCUGAAUCUUGUUGUUCAUUAAUUUCUUGCCGCCUGCUGUUGCCCAUGAGGGGGAGUCGGAUCCAUCAUGGAUAACCAUCCCUGAUGAGCUUUUAAUACAUACUGAUGGUGACAAAAUUGAUGCCAUUGUUCAGGUUGUAUACAAAGAUGUUCCUACUAGGUAUUCUGACGUUGAUUAUCUAAAAGAAAGAGCAAUUCUAACACCAACGAACCAAGUAGCUGAAAAUUAUAAACGAGUGCGUUCUAUCUUUAGUGCCUACCAGUGAGAGAGUAACUAAGCUGUGUCAAGUGUCGAUGCCUAUGUUUUAUAUGCAAAUACCUUUCCUCUUUUGCACAAACCAUGCUUCCUGUACAAUGAUAUUUAAUAGCAGCAAACUAAACAGGUUGGUUAGGAAACUGAAGCUGCAGCUACUGAAGAGCCAAAGAACAUUCUUGUUGAACAGUCUAAAGCCAAGAGGUAAAGACUCAUAGUCUGUUACAUCCAACCAGUUCAACGUAAGAUAUGGCGUGCCGCCUCUUGUUCUUCCUUUACCUUGUCUUAUUUGACAACCAAAGCAUCGUUCUCUGUGGCUCUCAAAAAUGCUUUCUUCUUCACACGAUGCAUGUUAUGCCAUUUGAUCAAACUACUUUUCUGCCACAGCUAUAUUCAAAUGGAUCAUAGGCCCAAUAAAACAUCAUUUUACUUCAAAAUCUAAUAUACGUUUUAUUUAUUUUCCUGUUGCAUAUACAAGCAACUCUUCUUGUUGCAUCAAAAGUAACUUGCUUCGUACAUGCAAACUAAUUAGCCAUAUAGUUAAAUUAGCUACGUAUUAAGAUUCGGUACAUCUACUGCUUAUUUAUGUUGUGUUCUAUUUGCUGUGUCCAAUCUUUAUGCGCUUGUUAUUUUUAUCACACUGUAAUCAAGCUUCUGUUGUUAUAGCAAUAUGAAAUCCUAUGCAUCAAGCUUCUGUUCUUAUAGCAAUUACAGUUUUGAUACCUCUGUUUCUUUAUAUCAUCUUGUUGGGUUUCUGUUUCUCUUCAUAUAGGAUACAGAUAUGUGAUUCUCAUGUGGUCCUUUCGCUGGAAACUUGCUAAUCUUAGGGGUGCUGCUACUGGUGUAAAAACCGUUUUAUCAAAAGAACUAAAGUAGUAGCUAAUCCAAGCAUUGCAGAAUUGACGCAGAGGUUACGCUAUAUUGGCAUGAAGUCAGAGCAGCGCGUGAAGACUACAUAAGAUAGUUUCUGGUGACCUUCAGUCUAUAUGUCCUAACCAACAGCAGCCACCUUUUAUUUCGUAUCAAUCGAUCCAGUAUCUUUUCCCUUUUGGCGUCUCUGAGCAAGAUAUGUAUAGCCUUUAGAUUUCCGUUCGUGUAUGAUACUACAUGUACACUUUAGACCUCAUUACUGUCUCUGUGGUCAAAAGAAGUUUGUGAUCACUUGUUCUAUAUAUGUAAUCAACUGCCCUUCUACUAAUAUUUUCAGAAGACUAUUUAUGUAUGUUUACACUGGUUAGAGAAAAUCAUCACACUGCCAGCAGCAGUUUUUUAUUUCCAUAUGUUUCAAUUAAAUCUUCUGACCAAAUCAUUUGUCU
rnacentral:lncRNA from 1 species